GUAUGUAUAUUUGUGGAAUACAUUUGUGGAAUACACAAUAAAGAUCACCUGGUUGCGCAGAAGUUAAUGGAGGUGGAAAUGUUUCAGAACGAAACAUGCAAAACCGUAAAGAAAGCAUCAGCCUGUCGCAUUUUAAAUGUGGGCAAAUUAAUUUCUUACAUUUUUUUAAGUAGGUCGAGGUGAUUUCUUUACAGACACUGAGAUAAUUUCAUAAUCUCCAUAAAGAAGAAAGUAUUUUCUUUUAUUAUAGCUGAGCUUUUCUUAUAUAUGAGUACAUUUUUAGGGUUUUUAGACAAUGUUGCCUGCGUUUCUCACAGCUCUCAAACAAAAAACUUUGUGUAUUCAUGUCAUUUUUCCCACAAAGGCACACUGAGGGCCUGAUGUGUGUGUCGGCGGCUUGAUGUAAAUGAUGCAGUUGUGAGAACUGAGAGAGCUGUGAAAGCUGCUCUUUGACGAACAGGAUGACUCAGUUGCUUUGCCUGAUGUUCGUAUGAAACUCAAACCCGCCGCCCUCUCACUCGAGCUAAGCUGAAGUGAUUCAGCGUAGUGCUGGUUUGGAUUUUGGUACCUCUGGAGUGCAUUUUAUGUGCGUGAAGAGAAUUUAGAGAUGACACUGUUUUAGACACUGCCCCAGCAACUAGGGACAACCAAGACACCGUGUCUGGAGAUGAGCCACCCAGCGACACCACCCCCAAAACCCACUACUUAACAGACCAUCCCUCCACCAUCGACUAUGAUGAUGCCACAGAAGUUUUCAACGAAGAGGAAGGGGCCAUGGGGCCAGGGGCCAUCACAGCCAUAGUUAUAGCAGUCUUCCUGGGAGCAUCUGUCCUCCUCGCUCUCAUCGUCAUCACACUGAGGAAGUUCACCGCCUCCUAGAGGAAACACAUAUGGUUUAUGUGUGUGUGUGUGUGUGUGUGUGUGUGUGUGUGUGUGUGUGUGUGUGUGUGUGUGUGUGUGUGUGUGUGUGUGUGUGUGUUGGUAAACCAUGACUGUUUGUGUGCCUGUGUUUCUCUGUUGCUUCUCAGUUCCAUCUUUCAACUCCAGGCUCGACCUUUGUGUAAAACGUGUCUUUUGCUUUGCUGAAAAUUGUGGCAGACUAUUUGCAGGUUUCCUAAAUACUCAAAUUGUUGCUCAACACGUACACUUGUUGCUGAAGGAACCAUCUUAGAAACUGGCUGGCUCUUCCAGUGCAAUGCUGUAGCACAUUUAUCACUUGUGGGUUGUUGGUUUUUUUUUUAAACAUGUUGUUUUCCAGUCAUUUCAAUGUUUCGCCUUUCUUCAAUACAUGAUUUUGCUUCUAUGUUAGCAGGAAGUGUUUGUGGUUAUGUUUGUCUGCGUCUUACUUUUCCAAUCAGUGAGAAAUAUAUUUGAAUUUUUUUUAGCCGUACAUGGAAGGUUUUUAUUGGUCUUUCUCAGUAAUUGUACCUGAGUAAUUUUCAAAAAUAUUUCCAAGGUGUCACCGUGCAAAAGUUUUCAAGUUUGUAUUAAACCAUUAACAAACAUUUGUAGAGUCAAAUUAAGAAUAGAACAUCUUUAAAAGGGGCUUUUUCAAUGAAAGUAAACAGACGUGUUGUUUGUACCUGCAGAGCAAAUAUGCAGUUAGUGCUUGGAUGAAUGUGCCUUUUGUCUUUGCAUGUUUGUGUGGGUUUUUUUGUCUCUCUUUUUUUGCAGGAGGAAAAUUAGUAUAGUAUAUUAUGAGAUAUUUUUCUGUACAACCCAGAGUCCUCAGUCAUACAGCUGGAUGCUGCCAUUUUAUCAUCAAGUCAAAAAUUAUUAAAUCAUAUUUUAAUAGUUUAAUGUGUGUGUGUGAUUGCACAUGAUUACUGAAUUAACUGUAAUUUUUUUUCUUUUAGACAUUAUACAUUUUCGUGUACAGUUACAGACUGUAUAUAAAAGAUGCACAUUUGGGUUUGAAAAUUGAAGCCAAUUCAGUUGGGCUUUAAAGCUGUUUUCUUUAUAUUGGCCAACAGGGCGCCAUGUAUCUGAUUGCUAAGAUGAAGUCAAAUUAUUUGGGUUUAUAAGGAAGGGACCCCACUGGUCCCUCCGUGUUUGACUUCAGUAAACACUUUCCUGAUCGGUUUGUACUUAGCUUUCGCUCAUAUUUACCAAAACAUUCACUUUGUAAAUUAUGGUACCAUUUAGAUAUAUAAACAUGAUGAAACAUGGUAUGAUCCGUGGCACCUGGUGACUAAAAAGUCAUAAGUACCAUAUGGGCAAGCAAUGUCCUUCAGUUCUUAUUCACUGCUUGCUCAUCACAUUUAGUUUCAAAAACUAAACAAGGCAACUGGAAAAAACCUCCUUGCUCAAUGCUUUUCAUAAAACCAGACAGUGACUCACAUCAGAAAUUAUUCAAUUUUAACUUUUACUAUAGAACUAAUACUGUUAUUUCUUCUUAAUUCAGAAUAUUAAUUUUAAAAUGUGAUAUGUGUCUUUAGUAGUUAGUAGUCAUCCUGUACUAUAGUAUAUCGUCUUUCACUUCUGAUGUUUUAAAAAAAAAUCGGGUCAAAUGAACAAAUAAUAAACAAAUAAUACAUGAAUUAAGACACACAUCAUGUCUUAAUUUAUUUAAACUAAACAAAGCCAAAAUUCAGAGGUACUUUGUGAAAAAAUCAAUACUGAGUUAACAGAGUAAGUAGAUAACAGGUGCUGCAACUCAAAUACACUUUCAAACUGAUCAAAUUAACUCAUCAUCAGCUGGUGUGUGCUAACUCAGUGACAAGUAUUAAGGACAUUUUAGGAAGCAAUGAUUUUAGGAAAACAGCUGUUGCUUUCCAUCAAUCUUGAAAGAUUUAUGAGGCCAUUUUCAAACAACUUGAAAUUCACCUUUCCAAGGAGAAAACAUUAAAGACAGUUGCCAGUCUUCCUCACAGUGGACACCCUGGCAAAUUCACCCAAGCCCAGACCGUGCAGUGCUCAGAGAAACUGCAAAAAACUACAUGCCUCAGUUAGCAUGUUAAAUGUUAAAGUCCAUUAAAGCAGAAUCAGUGAAAGACUGAAGAAGUGUUGCCUGUUUAGACGGGAUGCCAAGAGAACCUUUCUCUAAAAAGAUCAUGGCAGCACAGUUCAGAACAGCAUGGCAACGUUGCAAACUCAGCAUAUCAGCAGAAACAGUUCAUACCAGCUAUGAAGCACGGCAGUGGAGGGGUGAUGAUUUGGGUUUAUAUUGUAGCCACAGGCACCUGUAGCCACUGAGUCCUCAAUGAACUCCUCUGUGUACCAAAGUAUUCUGGAAUCAAACGUGCGGCUAUAUUUCCAACAUCUAAGGCUUGGAUGAAACUGGACCAGGCAACAAAGCAAAUAUCCUGAGGAGAAAAGAAAGGAAAGAUUCACGGAGUUGUAAUAAGCCCAGUCAAAGUCCCAACCUCAACUCAAAUGAAAUGAUGAGGCGAGGCUUUUAGAGCGCGUAAACAAAUGCCCACAAACCUCAACGAACUGAAGCAAGACUAAAGAAGAGUGGGCCAAAAUUUCUCCACAACAAUGUGAGAGGAUAAGAAAGUCAUACUGAAAACACCUACUUCAGGUUAUUGCUUCCAAAGGUGAUUCUUGAAGCUACUGAAUCAGGGGGCGUACUUAGUUUUUCCCACACCGUAUCUGCAUUCUGGCUUAGUUUGUGUUGAAUAAAGACACGGUGUAGUAUGUUAUCCGCUGUUGUUCAUUUGUGGUUGUAUUUUCUUAAGAACUUGGCAGUGACCGGAUGACUUUUUAUGUCCUGAAAACAUUAGAACUGGAAGAGGGCAUACUUUUUUCACAUGACUGCAUACAAAGAAACACAUUUACAGAAACAAAAAAGUGUCAUAUGGUUUCCCCAAAAGUGAAAGCAUUUUUUUUCCCCAGUUUAAAACUGAAAGCACAAUUCGAUCUCUUCUCACGUACUUGAAUUUAACUAUAUUUCUCUGGUGACUGAUGACGGUAACUUCAAGCUGUGAAGUGUAGCUGUGGGCACAUUCUCACACUUUAAAUUCAGUUAAGUCAUCUCAGUACAUGAAACCAGGAAACUCUUAAACAUAAUCACAGUCUAAAUCUGCUUCUGUAGCUUCUCACAGACUUAAAAGGAAAAGGGCUUUGAAAGCAGUGUUCAGAAAUUUUCUUUCACAUAGGACAACUCAUAGCGGUACGUUUACUAAUAACAGCACUACUACUGAAAUCACAGUAUUGGAGGCAUCUUGCUUUAUUAAUAGUGACUGCUGAGAGACUGUAAACAAACUAGUUGUUGACCUAAAAAAAAGAAAAACCAUGCAGGGAAGUCACAUGGACAAGGCCGGGUCUUUAUAUUCAGCAUUAAAGUAUUAUAUUUCAUUUUGAUCAAAUGUUACAUCUUAUAUUAUAUAAAUCUACAUUCACAUUAUA